ACACAAAACAACAAUGGCGUCUGCAAGGCAUAUUGAGCACGAGGUCAAGAUCCAAAAAGUGGAUCAACUACCAAGAGAACAAAAGAUGUGCUAAUUUUAAGGAGAUGCUGUAGCUCUUCUCCUGGAUGGGGGUGUUUGAUGGCCAGGAGCAUGUUCCUUGACGGAAAAAAGUAAGUUGUGAAUGCAGACAAAGGAAAAAAAAUGGUAAUGAACAUUUUUUUACUGCUUGCUUGUUUACAACAUCAUAAUUAUAUUCCUUUGAUGAACAGUUAGAUGUAAACCGUUUGUUGUAAAGGUGUUUGAAAAUUUGGUUUCUUGAACUUGAUAAAUUGGGAAAAAAGCACUUUUCAGUUGCAAUUAAUUGAAUAAAACUUUCUUGGAGUGAUAGAAGAAGAAGACAUACAGGAAGAUGAAGAAGAGGAUACAUCACUUCGAGGAAAGAAAACCUCCUCAUCUACAUGAAUAAAAUGGACGGAGGCUGAACUGGAGGAGGUUAAGGAAUAUUUCAGAGAAUGUCUGAUCUCGAACACCACUCCAGGAAGAAUAACUUGCAAUAUGUGGAUAGAGGAAAGCAGAGCUAAUAUAAUAAGCUAUGGGAAACUCUAAAGAAGAAAGUGUGGAGUCUGCGCCCCCCCCCCCCCCCCAAAAAAAAUAAAAAUAAAAAAUAAAACCACCUUGACAGUUUUUGGAUCUAAAACCUACAGCAAAACUUAAUUAUGUAAUGAUGUUUGUUUUCAUCUUCCUCCUUGCUCUUAUUACAGUGAAUUUUUAUUUUUUUAGUUUUGAGACAAUUUUUUUUCAUUUUCAUCACCGUUUACCAUACUUUUCACUGAAAUUGAAUCAAUGGUAAUUUCUUUUAUUGUGAGAAAGACAUGCAGUGUAUCUUUUUAGAAAGGAUGUAAUCAGUUUGAGAAUGUUAUCAUUCAAAAGUACAUUUUCAUUUAAUUGGACAUUUGAUGAGAAUUUUGUUUGAUCAAGUCAAAUUAUUGCAAGAUUGCAAUUUAUUUAGCAGUAUGGUAGUAUAAAAUUAUUUGCAGUAUUUUCAUGGAUUUUCUUCAUUUGAUGAGAACUUCUUUUAUUAAAGGAACUGAUUACCAAUUUUUGUAACUAAGGACUUGUUUUAAUUAAGACACCAUUUGCCCUUUGUCAUAAAUAUAUCUUUGUAUCAAAGCCUAGAUUAAUAUCUUUCUGUGUUUUGAAGAUAAAAACAAAAGAAAGUUGACACCUCUUAGUUUGGUAAUUACAUAUACUUUGUGGUAGAUGAAUUGAAGGUUUGUGGACAAAAUAUUUUCAUUAUAUUGCUUGAAUUUGAAGUGUGGCCAUGUUGCAAUUAUUUAAGAUCCAUGCUUAGAAAAAUUGUUAAUUGCUAAAUUGUCAUUUGCAUAACAGCCAGGUAGUUGCAAAAUGAUGGUACAUGUACCUUGACCUAUCAUAAAUUGAUAUUUGUAAAGGUAAUGCUUAUAAUGCUUAUGAAUGCCAAUUGUUUUUUUGAAAAAUAAAAACGAAAUGUUAAAAUCU
rnacentral:misc_RNA from 1 species